UUUUUUAAUUGAAAACUUGUAUGAAUGGUUGAAUGAAAUAUUAACUGUUUCAAAAAAAAAUAUUUAGAAUUUUAUUUUUUAGUAAAAAAGCUAAAAUAAUUUUAGAGGACGAGAAGACCCUAUAAAGUUUUAUAAUAUAAAUAUAAUUAUUUUUAUAGAAGUUUUUAAAUUUUAAUUUUUAUAUUAUUUUAUUGGGGUGAUAAUAAAAUUUAUUUAACUUUUUUUAUUUAUAAACAUUAAUUUAUGAAUUUAUGAUCCAAUUAUAUUGAUUAAAAAUUUAAAUUACUUUAGGGAUAACAGCGUAAUUUUUUUUUAAAGUUCAUAUUAAUAAAAAAGAUUGC
rnacentral:rRNA from 1 species